rnacentral:rRNA from 1 species
GACGAACGCUGGCGGCGCGCCUAACACAUGCAAGUCGAACGAGAAAGGAAGAGCUUGCUCUUCUAAUCGAGUGGCGAACGGGUGAGUAACGCGUGAGGAACCUGCCUCAAAGAGGGGGACAACAGUUGGAAACGACUGCUAAUACCGCAUAAGCCCACGGCUCGGCAUCGAGCAGGGGGAAAAGGAGCAAUCCGCUUUGAGAUGGCCUCGCGUCCGAUUAGCUAGUUGGUGAGGUAACGGCCCACCAAGGCAACGAUCGGUAGCCGGACUGAGAGGGUGAACGGCCACAUUGGGACUGAGACACGGCCCAAAACUCCUACGGGAGCAGCAGUGGGAAUAUUGCANAAUGGAGGAAACUCUGAUGCAGCGACGCCGCGUGAGCGAAGAAGUAUUCGGUAUGUAAAGCUCUGUCAGCAGGGAAGAUAAUGACGGUACCUGACCAAGAAGCCCCGGCUAAC